AAAACAACUGUAAUCUAUAGUCUCAACUAAGGUUGGGCAUUGUUUGGAUUUUAAUCAUUCUGAUUCCAAUUCUGAUUCUUCUUUUGAUUCCAGUUCUUAUUGAUUCUUUAGUCCGAUUCUUUGAGGGGUUGAGUUAAACAGGUCACAUGCCUAUUUUCACAAAUAAGAGGACAUUUUUAUUUUGAUUCAAUGGUGUUU